rnacentral:rRNA from 1 species
AGCAGCAGCCACGGUAAUACGGAGGGUGCAAGCGUUAAUCGGAAUUACUGGGCGUAAAGCGUGCGUAGGGGGUUUGGCAAGUUUGGUGUGAAAUCUUCGGGCUCAACUCGAAGUCUGCAUCAAAAACUGCCGGGCUUGAGUAUGGGAGAGGUGAGUGGAAUUUCCGGCGUAGCGGUGAAAUGCGUAGAUAUCGGAAGGAACACCUGUGGCGAAAGCGGCUCACUGGACCAUAACUGACGCUGAGGCACGAAAGCUGGGGGAGCAAACAGGAUUAGAUACCCCCGUAGUCCCUGUCUCUUAUAC